UACGGAGGGAGCUAGCGUUGUUCGGAUAUACUGGGCGUAAAGCGCACGUAGGCGGCGCAGCAAGUCAGGGGUGAAAUCCCGGAGCUCAACCCCGGAACUGCCCUCGAAACUAGGUAGCUAGAAUCUUGGAGAGGCGAGUGGAAUUCCGAGUGUAGAGGUGAAAUUCGUAGAUAUUCGGAAGAACACCAGUGGCGAAGGCGACUCGCUGGACAAGUAUUGACGCUGAGGUGCGAAAGCGUGGGGAGCAAACAGG
rnacentral:rRNA from 1 species